AAUUUAUGUGUAAAGGGAAAGGGUCAGUACAGUGUCUACUGCAUUAAAUAGUCAUUAUAUUCUGUUUUUACAGUGUUGUUCAUUUACUUCACAUGUAUAUCUACUGUCCAGACUACUGACUGUCUGCACUUGAGGGAACAAUGUAUUAAUGCUGGAAAAGGAUGUGAGAGUGUCUGGAAUGUGGUUGAAGAUGCCUGCAAUAUUUCAGGUAAUAGAUGCAAGGCAGAAGACACUGUUGGAUGUAAUAGGAUAAUCCAGGUCCUGGCUGAUGAAUACCCAGAAUUUAAAAGCUGUGUCUGCACUACAGACAACAUCUGUAGCAUCACAACUUUGCUUGGGAAACAGUGCGGCAUUAAUAAAGAGGACUCGGAGUCCCUCUCGAGCUCGGAGGCUGAGCUGGGUGCUGGGCAGCGCAGAGACCCCGGGGACCCGAGGCGCGCGGAGGGGCCGGAGCGCGACUGCGGCGAGGCCCGGCGGCGCUGCCGGGAGCGGCCGCGCUGCUCGGCCGCCCUGGGCA
rnacentral:lncRNA from 1 species